GUCCAGACUCCUACGGGAGGCAGCAGUGGGGAAUAUUGCACAAUGGGGGAAACCCUGAUGCAGCGACGCCGCGUGAGUGAAGAAGUAUUUCGGUAUGUAAAGCUCUAUCAGCAGGAACGAGACAAGACGGUACCUGACUAAGAAGCCCCGGCUAACUACGUGCCAGCAGCCGCGGUAAUACGUAGGGGGCAAGCGUUAUCCGGAUUUACUGGGUGUAAAGGGAGCGUAGACGGCAUGGCAAGUCUGAAGUGAAAGCCCGGGGCUCAACCGCGGGACUGCUUUGGAAACUGUUAAGCUGGAGUGCAGGAGAGGUAAGUGGAAUUCCUAGUGUAGCGGUGAAAUGCGUAGAUAUUAGGAGGAACACCAGUGGCGAAGGCGGCUUACUGGACUGUAACUGACGUUGAGGCUCGAAAGCGUGGGGAGCAAACAGGAUUAGAUACCCCUGUAA
rnacentral:rRNA from 1 species